rnacentral:lncRNA from 1 species
UCAUUUCAUACGUAAAGGGAAAAGUACAGGCUUUUGCCAAACCAGAAACCAUGCGGAUUUUGUCAGGGUUGUUACUCUCAACACCCAAUCGUGCAUCUCAGCUCCCAAUCAUGCAUCGUACGGCGAACCUAGCUCAGAGCACGAAUCCGACCAGCCCCGACCCAAUCCCCUCACCCGCCCACAUAUAGAAAUACUGAUAGUAGUACGAUUCGGACGGUGACCGGGGCGAGGAGGGCAGUGGACUGACCUAAGGCGGAGAUCUUCUCCCUGAGCUGCGCCAGCUCCGCCCGGAGCGCGGCCGCCUCGGCGGCCUCCUUGACUCCGCCCGCCGCGAUCUCCCCGGCCCCCGCCGGGUCCGCCGCCGCCUGCUCCUCCGCGGCCGCCCCGGCGGCGAACACCAGCGCCGCCGCGAGGAGGAGGAGGAGGAACCGCCUCGAGAUCCCCAUAUCGCCGCCUCCUGUAACCCAAAAUCCUUCGUUUCUAUCGACCGCGACCGCGACCGCCAGGGAUGGAAAUGGGGGGAGGGGGGACGAGUUCUGUGUGUGUGUGUGUGUGUGUGUGUGUAGUUGUAGAGAGCAGAGAGGCAGUAGCGACGGGCGGCGUAAGGGGGUUGCACGGCUCCUGCUCGUUCGUGCCCCGCGUGUCGUGUCGUGGCGAAGCGCAGGACGGAUCUUUCCUUCCGUGCUUUCAUAAAAAUAAAAAUAAAAAAAUCUCUCUUUCCAUUUCUUUCCCUCCCUUACGCGGGCAGCACGUGACGUGGCACGUGGAGGCCGCGAGGACGGGAUGGAUCCACAUGCCGUGAUGGGUCGCUGACCCGGCGGGCCGUGCCGUGCCUGUCCGGUGGCGGUGGAUGUUGGAUGCCGUCCGGGACAGGUGGGUGGCUCGUGGGGGCGCCCGUAUCGGGCACGCCUCGCACGUAGGCUGAGUUGACAGAUUUUAUGGUUGAUAAGCCAUCGUAGACACUUGCAUCUAUGUCUCUCAUACCCUUUUCAAACAUUUGGGUGGAUAGUUUGAUCGGUUAUAAAAAAAAAAAUUCAGACGAAGCUCUCAAACCGACCUCAAACGUUCAGAAUAACUCAUACCCUUCAUUUUUAGUUCAAUAUGGGAUGUAUACGGGGAAGCCUGGGCGCACAUGGCACGUCCGUCACGCUGGACUCGAUAGCCUGACCAUACCUUAAAUUGCACCAAAUCCCCUAAACCGUUCCUCCUCCUUCCGUCGCACGUCAACAUUUCCCGCAUCCGAUCCCUCGCCUUCCGGCACCCUUGCUUUCCAUCCUCACCACAUGUCCCGAUCUGUUGUCGUGAUGUCUUCAACCCCUUCCUCGACCGCCACGACGGAGACACGGUCCACCUUGUCCGUCGGCGGGCCUUCCUCCGCUUCGUCUUGCAAGUCGGAGAACAUCGCUCGUAAACUGCGCCAUCACCGGCAGCAGCAAAGGGAGUUGGCCGUACAGCUACAUGUGGGCGUCGUCGGCGAGAUGUCUCCCCCAGCGCGCCAGGCUCCCCUUACCCCAUCCAUGCAAGUGUCGGCGUGAAUUGUGUCGUCCGGCAUCAACGAGACCGAGGAGGAAGAGGAUGAGACGGCCGACUGGACCCUUUCGGAGAGCUUUCGAGACACGCAGGAGUCGUCGAUCCAAGAGUGUGAGUCCGCACAGCUCGUUCGGGAGCGGGUGAGCACAGGCAACCCCAUCGCGGGGGCUGCCCACAACAUGUUCGACGAAACGUCUCAACAAGACCGGGUACGUUUGCUCGUGUUCGAUCAAAUGAUUAAUAUUUCGUAUAGUUCACUAGUUUGCACAAGAUGAUUGCAAACCUUGAACUGUAGGAGACAUACUUGGCAAAUAUGAUCGAUGAGAAUGAAGAUCUGGUCCAUGUGGAAUAUGAAAUGGAGGAGACCGACGCAUUUGUGAUUGGGGCAACAUCUGGUCCCAAUCCUACCAAGAAGAAGAAGAAGCACAAGACGUCGAAGGAAAGAGGGCUUGCUUUCUCAAGAUACGAGGACAUCAUGUUAAUUCAAUCUUGGUUGAACACAACAUUGGAUCCAAUAAGUGGCACCGAGCAAAAGGGGAGCACGUAUUGGGAGAAAAAUUGGAAGGACUAUCAUGAACGAAAUGAGUAUGUGGAGCCGCAUCCUAUCAUGAGUGCCCGUAAUGUGGCAUCUCUCCAACAUCGAUGGGGUCAUACAAGGAGAAGUGAACAAGUACGUCGGUUACUACUCACAAGUGAACAAACGGUCUCAAAGUGGGAUGGGAGUGGUAACUCAUGUAAGCUCGAUCGCCUCAUCUUACUGUCAUUUUAAUAUGUUCAUGUGUUUUUCAUUCUUGUGCUCAUACGCAUUUUUUAUGCUAGGCGGCGGUGGCGGCCACUUUGUAUCACGAGGUCAAGAAGAGACCAUUUACUUUUAGUCAUUGUUGGCUCUUAUUGAAUGGCAAGCCAAAGUGACAACAAGUUAUGGCCGACCUCAAGGACAAAAAAGAGGAAUGAUGGCUCAAGCUCCCACCAAUCCAUUGGGUUGGACGAUGAUGACGACGAUGUUGUCGUCGCCAAUGGAAAAGUUAUCGUGUCAAAGGAUAACCGGCUACUCAUGGGAACUAAGUGGGAGAAGGCAAGGACCGCGACUACAAAAAUGUCGUCCACAUGGACGGGCAUUUUUUUCGAUAAGCGGGAGCAAGAAAGAGGAGAGGUACAAGCUUAUGUUGGACUCGUAGAAGGAGAGGAUGGAGUAGGAUCGGACAAGGGCAGAGGGGCGACUUGGAAUUGAGAGGGGGGAGAUUGAGUUGGAGAAGCAAGAGGCGACGAUCAAAUGGGAACUUCAGAACGCCAAGACAUUUGGAGACAUUGAGCUCGGGAAGGAGAGGUUGCAACUCUCACGCGACGCGGAGGAUGCAAAAAUCAUGCUCGCGGAUGAAUCUCUUUGGAUGAACAUGCCAAAAAAUGAUCUGCGGACAAAAAGAAGAAGAUCAACGACCGUAGAACGUUGGAGACGGCCAGGGCGGCUACGACAUCGGGAGCGGAACAGAGCUAGGAUGCACGCGGUGGAGGCAGCUCGGAUGCACGGGACGAUCGUUGCUAGGAUGCACGCGGAGGAGGCAGCUCGGAUGCACGCGGAGGAGGCAGCCCGGAUGCACGCGGAGAUGGAUGCCCAGACGGAGCAAGACGCAUGGACGAACUCGUUCAGCAAGUGAUCCGACAUCACUUGUGGGUCGGAUAUUGAUUUCAUUUUGACAUGUCCAUUUGGUUGAACUAUGCCAUGCUUGCUUUUGUUUAAAACUGUUGAAUUCGAAUAAUUUGUAUCGAAUGGUUGACAUGGAUAGCUUUGUACGAAUUUAAGAGUCUGAAUAUAAGGUACGUGGAUGCACGUAACGAAAUAUGAGGGACUGCUCGGAUACGUCCGCGGGCGUGCCCGAACGCGUCUGCGGACGUUUUCAAACGCGUCCACGGGUGUUUGAGGGGUCAGAUUUGAGAGAUCCAACUAUAGAUGCUCUUAAUUGAUGGACAAGCCAUACCCGUUUGAACAAAUAUCAUCGAAGAGGCUGUAAAAAAUUCAAAAACAUACUAUCACAUAUGUCAAGUCCAUGACCUAAACUUGGAUGGACAGGUUUCAAAGCUAACAUGUGUGUUAUGCUCGGUUGUUUUAGUUUUUUACAUACUCUCUCCAUCAGGGUUUACUGGAUCUUCUUUUAUUUUAUCAAACUUUGAUCGUGUGUAUAACUAGUAAAAUCUAAAGUAUGUGCUAUAAAAAAUAUAUUCUUGAAUUUUAUAUAGUGAUUCUCACACAUAACUUUUAUGACAUGUAAUUUACAUCUUAUCUUUUUCACUACUAAAGAUUUGAGUUGAUGGUGAGUUCACUCACCCCGUCCUCCAUCUACAUGUGGGGCCUACUAUAACAUCAACCUAAAUAAAAUAUGUGUCAAUACCUUAAUAAAUAAACUAAUGAAACUGCCCAAUACCAAGCUAGGAAGCCCAUUUCCUGUCGUUGGAGCCUUGCUUCUGCCCGGAGCGAGCAGCUUGGCCUCCGGUCAUGCUCGUGCACUAUUCCACAUGGUCGCGGCUGCCCUCUUGGACAUCGGCUGUGAGUGGGCGCCGCUGGCCACUCGGACCUACGGCCACCGUCGCCCUAGAGCUCACGCCACCAAUUUCCCUUGGGUGGUUAGCUUGACAUUUUACACAUUCAAGUUAUUCAAAUAGCGUGUGAUUGUACGUAAUAAUUAUAUGUAUAUGUCAUUCUAAAAGACAGUAUGGAAAAAUUAUAUUAGCAGAAAAGAAUCCUUGUAUACUAAAUUAGUAGAACAUAAUAAUUAGCAUUGAAUCUAUUGUAAAUCUGUAAUAGUGGUGCAUGAAUGUGAUAAACCAAAGGUGUUUCACACGGUUAUGUUAUGCCAAAAACUUUGACAAAUUCCAUUCGAAAAAGUCAAGUUAUGUGUCGUCAGAUGAUGUGGGUUUAUCAGACCAAUUACGUAGAUGUGCCAUUUACUACUUGUAUUACUGGUGGAAUCGGGCAUGUAUUGCAAUGUUAGAAUGAGCAAAAACCUACGGGCAUUGAGCAACUAGCAUGGUGAAUCAUCGUAGGAGCAUUUGGACUUUUUUUAGUCAAGCACAAGAAAUCAAGAACUGAGUCCAACAAGCCUUAAUUGAUAUUACCAUUUUGUCUAUAUUAUUGCAUUCAGUAAUUAUGCCGUAGCCUAGGUUGUCAUUGCACAUAACUGAUGGUUAAUAGUAUAAAAUAAUUAAAAUUAUUUUAGAAAUUAUGUUUACUUUCUACUGUUCAUAUAGUAACAUACGAGCAAGUUAUUUUUCAUUGCCUCUAUAGCAACGCACGGGCACUAUGCUAGUCAGUUAUUAAAUUUGUGAUCAAAUUUUGGCACAAAAAAUAAGAAGGGACUAAUAUAUCCGGACGGAGGAAGCACUACUCUUUGCAAUUUUAUUCUCCCUGGUAACAUCUAAGAUAUGUUGUGCAAAAACCACCAUGCAUAAGCAUUGCGACCAUACAUGAUGAUUUUGGAUGGCGUGGAGGCAACCUAGGAUUUUUGCACGAGGUAGGGAGUGGAGCAUUUGGUAGGGAAACAAGCAUUUCAGGGGCGAGUCGAGACAUUUUUCUCACUUGUUGGUAACAAAUACAGCCAUAAUUUUUUUUAAAGAAACAAGAAGAAACAACCAUAGCUUGUUGCAGAUAUGUGAUCUACAAAUUUUUGACAUUUGACCUUUCAUCUUUGUAGAAUUGGCCAUUCAAUGCCGCUCCAGUAUGGAGUCAGUGGAAUUCAUAGCUUUUUAUUCUUUUUUUCUAGGAUCAAGUGGAUUUCGUAGUUGGAGGCCUCCCUUGUAUACCUGAUAACAUGGACUUUAUAAUUUGCCUCAGAUCAGCAAAGAUCUCCCCUCCUUCCCGGAUGCAUGCAAAGAUACAUCCUUUAAGUCCAAAUGGUUCCAACACAAAGUCCAAAGAUGCGGGUGUACAUAGUCUAAAGUCUAGACUUGAGAUGCCAUCAAAUAAUCUACAGCCUCAACCUGUAAAUUGGGUCCUUAAACAUCCGCGGAUGCGUCCGUGGAUAAUGACCGGACAUGCCUAAAAGAAUCAUUUGCAACUACAUAUCCUAUUUUCAAAAUAACAGAUACAUGUAAAGAUGUGCACGUCGAUCAUCACGUUCGUGUUGGACUGGAGAGACACCGAAUAAGCAUUCUUUAGUUAAGAUUUUCACAUAUGUAUUGGCCCGACGGGUUUGAGAAGUUUUUAGUCCCACCUCGUCGUCUUAGGAGCUAAUCCACAGGCUUAAAUAGUUAGGUCGUCCAAUAAUGAUAAGCUUCAGUCAUUGUUGUACCAUUUGUGAAGUAUAUGAACAGUGAUUACGAAUCUACUUGGCUUAUCGCAGAGAAAAUUCGUAGGCACGGUCCAUCUCCUUUUCAAAUGGAAUAUUGAUAUUUGCACGCCUCUUUUCCAGUCAUAAAAUAUGUUUUCACUACCCUUUUUGAAUCAUGGAAUAGAAAUCUUUUUCAUUAUAGCAGGGCAUUAACGAACAUGAAUGAGAUGAAUGACACUCGAUGAACAAUCAUCAGUUGCUGAAAUAUAAUCUACUAUCAUGCUACCUCAUUCACGCAACAAGAAUUGAUCCACCUAUGUAAUUAACAGAAAAACUUGUCCCUAUCUGCUGGUGCGGCAAUUUAAGUCGUCGGCGUCUUGCUGGCGUGGAGAGUGGGGUUAAAAUUUGGCUCGACGGAGCGAAAACACACAAGAACAACUCAUAUUCCUGUGGCUGCUGAUGGGACAGCUAUAAAAUGCAACCGGAUAUCCUAUUGUUUCUAGCUUUGGUCCCAAUUUAAAAGGUGUCAGUCAGCCCGACUAUACAGGGAUCAAAUAUGAAGACCGGUUAGUUCAAUUCUUUUAAUCGAAUGCUCAUCGAGUCAAUGCUGCAGAUGUUUAGUGAGGAAGUAGGAGUCCGGCUGUGGAUGCUCUCACUGUCAUGAAUCGAACAAGUGGUAUUAAGUAUCGAUCUCCAGUGCAUCACACACUCUCCUUCUCUCUCAAAGCCGCCAUCAUAGUCAAAAGUUUUCAUAUGGCCGUAUGCAUCUUUCGAUGCAGAGGCCGGGCUUAGCCUCCUUUUUUAAAAAAAUAGUCAAAAGUUUUCAUGUAUUAUACAAAUACUCAAAACGAGCUCUCGUCAAACUCAGAAAUUCAGAACGAGCAACGGGUGUAAAGAAUGGAAUUUAGCACAAGGACAGGACGGGUAAGCGGCGGCAACUACCACCGUCGACCGAGUCACUAACAUCCCAAGUUCCCAACCCCCGACCUCAUAAUAAAUGGCCUGCUCACCCUCAGAUAUGAAUGGGACAACGACGCGAUUGCCCGGGAAUUAAAGGUGGCAGGAUUGGAGUAGGUGUGUGGCUGGUGCAAGGGGGAGUUCAUUGGCAUUUAAGCAUUCGGUUUUAAGGAGGGUUUGAUUCGACGAGGGCCCGGUCGGCGGGUCAUGUCUUGGCUAGCAAAUGCGCUGAAAUGGAGUAGUACAGUACGUGGAGCUGCAGUGAAUCUUUUGUUUCUAAGAACAUGUAAAGCCGAGUCAACAGACUAUAAGAAAUAAAAUAAUAUAUUUAUGUUUAGUUGGAGUAAAGAGAAAAGAAGAGAAAAGAUAAGCGGACUUUUAGUUAAGAGUCAACUCUAUCACGUGCUCCUAAGUACUUUGUGAGAAUGAAAUAUGGGUCAUGUAAUAAAAAGGUAACACACUCUUCUAAUCAACUAUCACAUAUGUUAACUAUAAAAUGGGCUAUAGAUGAUAUGACAAUGGCUUAUAGCCAGCAGCUGGCUAUACUAUUAACCAUGCUCUAAGCGAAAGCUUGGCCGCAAUUUUUAAAUUUAGGUCCUCAAAUGUUUGCGGAAGGAUACAUCCAUAAACAGUGAUCAGGCAUGCCUUAAAUUUUGUUAUUUGCAAUUAUGAAUCAUAUUAAACACACGCUUUGUGUUGAACCUCGGGAGCUAUAAAAAAAACACCAAAUAAAUUGCUCUUACUUAAGAUUUUCACAUUCGAAUUGGAUCGACAGGUUUCGUAUGCCCACGUCCCCACUUGAGGAUCUAGUCGAUCGACUUAAAUAACCUUGUUAAUAGUUAUACCAAUUCAAAUGAUAAUUCCUCAUCGACUUGAGGAGCUAGUCGAUCGACAGGAGUAGUAGGGAUACCAAUGUAUAGUGAUGCCGCAUGACGUGACUGUGAGGGCGAUGCUCACGGACACGACCUCUCUGGCAUCGCAGUUUAAUGUGGAUGCCACAUCGCCAGAAACCAACUUUGGUCAUUGCACAACAUUGAAGCGACUUGACUAGGCAUUCGCAUGGCCUGACCGCGGCUAUUUAAGUCAUGCACCGACAAUGCACAUAUGUAUUUUGUCCUCUCCGUGCCCCUCCUCCUCUCCGAGCCCCUUCAACUCCAACGGCAAUGUCGAAGACAUGGUUUUUUGCACCGGCAGACGGAGGUGGUGAAGGUGGCAGUUCUUCACCAUGUAGAUCUUGGAGCUGCCAUCCAUGCUUUUCGAGCCCCUCAGCAUCCAUGGCGGCAUGCUCCUCGAGCGACGAGAAUGACCAUACGCUACAACAGUUGCGGCCCUGCCUCCUUGCAAAGGCCACUCUGACGGACAAAGAAGUGGUCGCUUAGCGACUCCUCCGCCAAUGACAAGAGGGACAAAGUUGUCAUUAGAGCUCUAUGUGCGUCAUGUGCAUUGGCAUCGUGGCCCUCCGCACCGCGUGGAAGGAGGUGGAGUGUCCCCUUCGCGAGGGGCAUGCAGUCGCGGACCUUUGGCGUCCUUGCACCACUGGAGGGACGACGACGACAAAGACGACGACAACAAUGCGAAAGGGCAGGGCGGCCAUCCGUAUGAGGUGAUCUCCCAGUAUAGGUUAGGAUUUUUUAGUUCUUAGUUAAACAGUUGAAAAAUAAUGACCUUUUAUGUAAAUUAUGCGUGAACUUUAAUGAAAUCCACAUGUUUGAUGAUUUUCAUCCGGUUAGUUCAAAUGCGAUUUGAAAUGUAGGAUGGCCGGCUCCCGCAUCCGUGGACUAGUCACUUGUGUCGACGGACGGGUGCGAUGUGCGGUUUGCGGGUCAGCUUUAGAGAUGACCUUAGAGCAUCUCAAUCGAGACGCCCCAUACCGUCCCCAAACAUCUGGGCUGGCUGUCCGUGUUGGGGAUCGUAGUAAAUUCAAAAAAAUUCUACACCAUACAAGGAUCUAUCUAUGAAGAAACCAGCAACGAGAGAGGUUGUAGAGCAUCUUCAUACCUUUGAAGAUCGCUAAGCGGAAGCGUUACUAUGAACGCGGUUGAUGCAGUCGUACUCGCUGCGAUUCAGAUCGCGGUGGAUUCCGAUCUAUGUGCCAAACUACGACACCUCCGCGUUCAACACACGUACAGCCCGGUGACGUCUCCCACGCCUUGAUCCAGCAAGGAGGAGGGAGAGGUUGAGGGAGAGCUCCAGCAGCACGACGGUGUGGUGGCGGUGGAGCUACGUGGUUCUUUGGGAGAGCUUUGCUAAGUUGUGCGGAGGACGAGGAGAGAGAGGGUUAGGGCUGCGCCGAGAGAGAGAGAGAGAGAGUCUCAAAUCAGCCCCAAUACCUCGGAUGUCUAUAGGAGGGAGGGAGAGAGGGUGCGCACCCCUAGGGUUCCCUCCCUAGGGGUGGCGGCAGCCCCAGAUGGCCAAGAGGGUGGCGGCUAGGGCAGGGAGAGGAGGGUGGCACCCUAGGUGGGCCUUGGGCCCCUCCCGCGCCUAGGGUUUGCCCCCUUUCCUCCCUUGUUGCGCCUUGGGCCUAGGUGGGAGGCGCACCAGCCCACUCUGGGAUGGUUCCCUUCCACCUUUUGGCCCAUGACAGCCUUUGGGGCUGGUGGACCCUCCCGGUGGACCCCCGGCACCCUUCCGGUGGUCCCGGUACGUUACGGGUGACGCCCGAAACAUUUCCGGUGUCCAAAAUCUCAUAUAUAUAUAUAUAUAUAUAUACACCUCCGGACCAUUCCGGAGCUCCUCGUGUCAUCUGGGAUCUCAUCGGGGACUCCGAACAACCUUCGGUAACCACGUACACUAUUUCCCUAUAACCAUGGCGUCAUUGAACCUUAAGUGUGUAGUCCCUACGGGUUCGGAGACAUGUAGACAUGACCGAGACAUCUAUCCGACCAAUAACCAACAGCGGGGUCUGGAUAUCCAUGUUGGUUCCCACAUGUNNNNNNNNNNUCUCAUCGGAUGAACCAUGAUAUCAAGGAUUCAAUCAAUCCCGUAUGCAAUUCCCUUUGUCUAUGUGUAUGAUACUUGCCCGAGAUUUGAUCGUCGGUAUCCCUAUACCUUAUUCAAUCUCGUUACUGGCAAGUCUCUUUACUCGUUUCGUAACACAUCAUCCCGUGGCUAACUCCUUAGUCACAUUGAGCUCAAUAUGAUGAUGAAUUACCAAGAGGGCCCAGAGAUACCUCUCCGUCACACGGAGUGACAAAUCCCGGUCUCGAUUCGUACAACUCAACACACACUUUUGGAGAUACCCGUAGUGAACCUUUAUAAUCACCCAGUUAUGUUGUGACAUUUGGUACACCCAAAGCACCCCUACGGUAUCCGGGAGUUGCACGAUCUCACGGUCUAAGGAAAUGAUACUUGACAUUAGAAAGUCUUUAGCAAACGAACAACACGAUCUAGUGCUAUGCUUAGGAUUGGGUCUUGUCCAUCACAUCAUUCCCGAAUGAUGUGAUCCCGUUUAUCAAUGACAUCCAAUGUCCAUGAUCAAGAAACCAUGAUCAUCUAUUGAUCAACGAGCUAGCCAACUAGAGGCUCACUAGGGACACAUUGUGAUCUAUAUAUUCACACAUGUAUUACGGUUUCUGGUUAAUACAAUUAUAGCAUGAAUAAUAGACAAUUAUCAUGAACUGGAAAUAUAAUAAUAACUACUUUAUUAUUGCCUCUAGGGCAUAUUUCCAACAAUCUCCCACUUGCACUAGAGUCAGUAAUCUAGUUACAUUGUGAUGAAUCGAACACCCAUAGAGUUUUGGUGCUGAUCAUGCUUUCCCCGUGGAAGAGGUUUAGUCAACGGGUCUGCGACAUUCAAAUUCGUAUGUACUUUACAAAUAUCUAUAUCUCCAUCCUGGAUGUAUCCACGAAUGGAGUUGAAGCGGCGCUUGAUGUGCUUGGUCUUCCUGUGAAACGUGGUCUCCUUUGCAAUAGAAAUAGCUCUAGUGUUGUCACAAAACAGAGUCAUCGGGCCCAACGCACUUGGAAUCACUCCUAGGUCGGUGAUGAACUCCUUCAUCCAGACUCCUUCGUGUGCUUCUUCCGAAGCAGCUAUGUACUACGCUUCACAUGUAGAUGCCGCCACGACGCUUUGCUUGCAAUUGCAUCAUCUUACUGCCCCACUAUUCAAAAUGUACACGUAUCCGGUUUGUGACUUGGAGUCAUCCGGAUCUGUGUCGAAGCUAGCAUCGACGUAACCCUUUACGACGAGCUCUUCGGCACCUCCAUAGAUGAGAAACAUAUCUUUAAUCCUUUUCACGUACUUUACGAUAUUCUUGACCGUUGUCCAGUGAUCCACUCGUGGAUCACUCUGGUACCUCCCUACCAAACUUAUGGCAAGGUUCACAUCACGUCUGGUACACAACAUGGCAUACAUGAUAGAGCCUAUGGCUGAAGCAUAGGGGACGGUACUCAUCUUUUCUCUAUCUUCCACCGUGGUCGGUCAUUGAGUCGCACUCAACCUCACACCUUGCAAUACAGGCAAGAACCCCUUCUUAGCCUUCUCCAUAUUGAACUUCUUCAAUAUCUUGUCAAGGUAUGUACUUUGUGAAAGACCUGUGAGGCGCCUCAAUCUAUCUCUAUAGAUCUUGAUGCUUAAUAUGUAAGCAGCUUCUCCAAGGUCCUUCAUUGAAAAACUCUUAUUCAAAUAGGCCUUGAUGCUUUCCAAUAGUUCUAUAUCGUUUCCCAUCAACAAUAUGUCAUCCACAUAUAAUAUGAGAAAUGCUACAGAGCUCCCACUCACUUUCUUGUAAAUACAGGCUUCUCCAUAAGUCUGUAUAAAUCCAAACGCUUUGAUCAUCUCAUCAAAGCGAAUGUUCCAACUCCGAGAUGCUUGCACCAUCCCAUAGAUGGAGCACUGGAGCUUUCAUACCUUGUUAGCACUGCUAGGAUCGAAAAAACCUUCCGGCUGUAUCAUAUACAAUUCUUCUUUAAGAAAACCGUUCAGGAAUGCUGUUUUGACAUCCAUUUGCCAGAUUUCAUAAUCAUAAAAUGCAACAAUUGCUAACAUGAUUCAGACCGACUUCAGCAUUGCUACGGGUGAGAAGGUCUCAUCAUAGUCAAUCCCUUGAACUUGUCGAUAACCCUUAGCGGCAAGUCAAGCCUUAUAGAUGGUCACAUUACCAUUUGUGUCAGUCUUCUUCUUGAAGAUCCAUUUAUUUUCUAUGGCUCGCCGAUCAUCGGUCAAGUCCACCAAAGUCCAUACUUUGUUCUCAUACAUGGAUCCUAUCUCGGAUUUGAUGGCCUAAAGCCAUUUGUUGGAAUCCGGGCCCGCCACCGCUUCUUCAUAGUUCAAAGGUUCAUUGUUGUCUAACAACAUGAUUUCCAUGACAGGGUUGCCGUACCACUCUAGUGCGGAGCGUACCCUUGUCGAACUUCGAGGUUCAAUAGCAACUUGAUCCGAAGUGUCAUGAUCAUCAUCAGUAACUUCAUCUCUAGCCGGUGCAGGCGCCUCAGAAACAUUUUCUUGCGUUGCGCUACUCUCCGGUUCGAGAGGAGGUACAACUACCUCAUCAGGUUCUAUUUUCCUCCCACUUACUUCUUUCGAGAGAAACUCUUUCUCUAGAAAGGACCCUUCUUAGCAACAAAGAUCUUGCCUUCGGAUCUAAGAUAGAAGGUGUAACCAAUAGUUUCCUUAGGGUAUCCUAUGAAGACACAUUUUUCCGCUUUGGGUCCGAGCUUCUCUGGUUGAAGUUUCUUCACGUAAGAAUCGCAACCCCACACUUAAGAAACGACAGCUUAGGUUUCUUGCCAAACCAUAAUUCAUACGGUGUCGUCUCAACGGAUUUAGACGGUGCCCUAUUUAAAGUGAAUGCGACAGUUUCCAAUGCAUAUCCCCAAAAUGAUAGCGGUAAAUUGGUUAGAGACACGACGUUCAGACACACCGUUACGCUAUGGUGUGCCAGGCGGCAUGAGUUGUGAAACAAUUCCACAUUUCCGUAGGUGUGUGCCAAACUCAUGACUCAAAUAUUCUCCUCCACGAUCAGAUCGUAGAAAUUUUAUUUUCUUGUCGUGUUGAUUCUCCACCUCACUCUGAAAUUCCUUGAACUUUUCAAAAGUCAGACUUUUGCUUCAUUAAGUAGACAUAUCCAUAUCUACUUAAAUCAUCGGUGAGGGUGAGAACAUAACGAUAGCCACCGCGAGCUUCAACGCUCAUUGGACCACAUACAUCGGUAUGUAUUAUUUCCAACAAGUUAGUUGCUCGCUCCAUUAUUACGGAGAACGGAGUCUUGGUCAUCUUGCCCAUGAGGCACAAUUCGCAUGUGUCAAAUGAUUCAAAAUCAAGUGACUCCAAAAGUCCAUCUGUAUGGAGUUUCUUCAUGCGCUUUACACCGAUAUGACCAAGGCGGCAGUGCCACAAGUAUGUGGGACUAUCAUUAUCAACCUUGCAUCUUUUAGCACUCACACUAUGAAUAUGUGUAACAUCACGAUCGAGAUUCAUUAGGAAUAAACCAUUAACUAGCGGGACAUGACCAUAAAACAUACCACUCAUAUAAAUAGAACAACCUUUAUUCUCAGAUUUAGAUGAGUAGCCAUCUUGCAUCAAGCGAGAUCCCGAUACCAUGUUCAUGCUUAAAGCUGGUACUAAAUAGCAAUUAUUAAGGUUUAUAACUAAUCCCGAAGGUAGAUGUACACGUAGCGUGCCGACGGCGAUCACAUUGACCUUGGAACCAUUUCCGACGCGCAUCGUCACCUCGUCCUUAGCCAGCCUACGCUUGUUCUGUAGUUCCUGCUUAGAGUUGCAAAUGUGAGCAACAUCACCGGUAUCAAAUACCCAAGAGCUACUACGAGCGCUCGUAAGGUACACAUCAAUGACAAGUAUAUCACAUAUACCUUUGAUGUUGCCGGCCUUCUUGUCCGCUAAGUACUUGGGGCAAUUCCGCUUCCAGUGACCGGUUCCCUUGCAGUUGUAGCACUCAAUCUCAGGCUUAGGUCCUUUCUUUGACUUCUUCCCAGCAACUGGCUUACCGGGCGGGGAAACAACUUUGCCAUCUUUCUUGAAGCUUUUCUUACCCUUUCCCUUCUUGAAACUGGUGGUCUUAUUAACCAUCAACACUUGGUGCUCUUUCUUGAUUUCUACCUCUGCAGAUUUCAGCAUUGAAUACAACUCGGCAAUAGUCUUAUCCAUCGCUUGCAUGUUGUAAUUCAUCACAAAGCCUUUGUAGCUAGGUGGAUGCAACUAGAGGAUUCUGUCAAUGACCGCAUCAUCCGGAAGUUCAACUCCCAGUUGAGUCAAGCGGUUGUGCAACCCAGACAUUCGGAGUAUGUGCUCACUGACAGAACUAUUCUCCUCCAUCUUACAGCUAAAGAACUUGUCGGAGACUUCAUAUCUCUCGACCCGGGCAUGAGCUUGAAAAACAAGUUUCAGCUCCUCGAACAUCUCAUAUGCUCUGUGUUGCUCAAAACGCCUUUGGAGCCCCGGUUCUAAACUAUAAAGCAUGCCGCACUGAAUGAGAGAGUAGUCAUCACUCCGGGACUGCCAGGCGUUCCUAACGUCCUGGGUUGCCGCGGGAAUGGGAGGAUCACCUAGCGGUGCAUCAAGGACAUAUGCCUUCUUGGAAACCAUGAGGAUUGAUACGUCUCCGUCGUAUCUACUUUUCUGAACUCUUUUGCCCUUGUUUUGGGCUCGAACUUGCAUGAUUUGAAUGGAACUAACCCGAACUAACGUCGUUUUCAGCAGAAUUGCCAUGGUGUUGUUUUUGUGCAGAAAUAAAAGUUCUCGGAAUGUCCUGAAAAUUUACGGAGAAUUUUUCUGGAAUAAAAGAAAAAUACCUGCGCAAAGAUCCCCAGGAGGAGGUGUGCCAGCGGGCCACAAGCCCCUGGGCCGCGGCCACCCCCCUAGGCCGCGCCACGAGGGCUUGUGGGGGCCCACGUGGCACCACCGCCCCCAAACUCAGCUCUAUUUAUUCCGUCUCGUCCGGAAAAAAAAUCAGAGAGAAGGAUUCAUCGCGUUUUAUGAUACGGAGGCGCCGCCACCUCCUAUUCUUCAUCUAGAGGGCAGAUCCGGAGUCCGUUCGAGGCUCCGGAGAGGGGAAAUCGUCGCCAUCGUCAUCAUCAACCUUCCUGCAUCGAAAAUUCCAUGAUGCUCUUCACCGUCCGUGAGUAAUCUCCUCGUAGGCUUGCUGGACGGUGAUGAGUUGGAUGAGAUCUAUCAUGUAUUCGAGUUAGUUUUGACGGGGAUUGAUCCCUAGUAUCCACUAUGUUCUAGAUUGAUGUUGCUACUACUUGGCCAUGCUUAAUGCUUGUCACUAGGGGCCGAGUGCCAUGAUUUCAGAUCUGAACCUAUUAUGUUGUGCCAAUAUAUGUGUGUUUUAGAUCCUAUCUUGCAAGUUGUAGUCACCUACUAUGUGUUAUGACCCGGCAACCCCGGAGUGACAAUAGCCGGAAUCACUCCCGGAGAUGACCAUAGUAUGAGGAAUUCAUGUAUUCACCACGUGUUAAUGCGUUGGUCCGGUUCUUUAUUAAAAGGAGAACCUUAAUAUCCCGUAGUUUCCAUUAGGACCCCGCUUCCACGGGAGGGAUGGACAAUAGAUGCCAUGCAAGUUCUUUUCCCUAAGCACGUAUGACUACAUACGGAAUACAUGCCUACAUUAGAUUGACGAACGGGAGCUAGUUACUUACCUCUCCGUGUUAUAGCUGUUACAUGAUGAAUCACAUCCGGCAUACUCAUCCAUCAUCUAUCCACUGCCUACGAGUCUUUUACUACUGGUCCUUGCUAUGUUACUUUGUUGCUGCUGUUGUCCAUCCGCAUAGUUGCUUCCAUCGUCUUUCAACUUGGUUUUUACUAGGAAUGCGUUGAAGUUGAAUGGGACAUUUGCGUUGGCCAUUGGAUCUACAAUAUUUGUAAAGACAAUUUUAGACUAAGUUCAUGAUAAAUAAGUUCAUCUAAUCAAAUUACUAAUGAACUCCCAGUUAGAUCGACAUCCCUCUAGUCAUCCAAGUGUCACAUGAUCCACGUCGACUAGGCCUUGUCCGAUCAUCACGUGAGAUGGACUAGCCAUCAAUGGUGAGCAUCUCCAUGCUGAUCAUAUCAACCAUACGACUCAUGUUCGACCUUUUGGUCUCCUGUAUUUGAGGCCAUGUCUGUACAUGCUAGGUUCGUCGAGUCAACCUAAGUGUUUUGCGUGUGUAAACUGGCUUACACCCGUUGUAUGCGAACGUUAGAAUCUAUCACACCCGAUCGUCACGUGGUGCUUCGAGACAACGAAACUUCGCAAUGGUGCACAUUUAGGGGAAUACUUAUCUUGAAAUUUUAAUGAGGGAUCAUCUUAUAUUUGCUACCGUCGUUCUAAGCAAUAAGACAUAAAACAUGAUAAACAUCACAUGCAAUCGUAUAGUGACAUGAUAUGGCCAAUAUCAUCUUGCUCCUUUGAUCACCAUAUUUGGGGAACCAUGAUCAUCAUCGUCACUGGCAUGACACCAUGAUCUCCAUCAUUAUGAUCUCCAUCAUGGUGUCUCCGUGAAGUUGUCACGCCAACUAUUACUUCUACUACUAUAGCUAACAGUUAGCGAUAAAGUAAAGUAAUCAACAUGGCGUUGCAUCUCAUACAAUAAAUUAAGACAACUCCUAUGGCUCCUGCCGGUUGUCAUACUCAUCGACAUGCAAGUCCUGAAUCCUACUACAAGAAUAUGAUCAAUCUCAUACAUCACAUAUGUAACAUCACAUCCUUUUGGCCAUAUCACAUCACAUAGCAGACCCUGCAAAAACAAGUUAGGUGUCCUCUAAUUGUUGUUGCAAGUUUUACGUGGCUGGUUUGGGUUUCUAGCAAGAACGUUUCUCACCUACGUGAUAGCCACAACAUUGAUAUGCCAAUGCUAUUUACCCUUCAUAAGGACCCUUUUCAUUGAAUCCAAUUCGACUAAAGUGGGAGAGACAGACACCCGCUAGCCACCUUAUGCACCAAGUGCAUGUCUGUCGGUGGAACCCGUCUCACGUAAGCGUACAUGUUAAGUCGGUCCGGGCUGUUUCAUCCCACAAUACUGCCGAAAAAAGAUAAGACUAGUAACGGCAAGCAAGUUGACAAAUCAGCGCCCACAACUUUUGUGUUCUACUCGUGCAUAGAAUCUUCACAUAGAACCUUGGCUCUGAUACCACUGUUGGGGAUUGUAGUAAAUUCAAAAAAAUUCUACGCCAUACAAGGAUCUAUCUAUGGAGAAACCAACAACAAGAGAGGUUGUAGAGCAUCUUCAUACCUUUGAAGAUCGCUAAGUGAAAGCGUUACUAUGAACGCGGUUGAUGGAGUCGUACUUGCUGCGAUUCAGAUCGCAGUGGAUUCCGAUCUAUAUGCCGAACUACGGCACCUCCGUGUUCAACACAUGUACAGCCCGAUGACGUAUCCCAUGUCUUGAUCCAGCAAGGAGGAGGGAGAGGUUGAGGGAGAGCUCUGGCAGCACGACGGCGUGGUGGCGGUGGAUCUACGUGGUUCUCCAUCAGAGCUUCGCUAAGCUGUGCGGAGGACGAGGAGAGAGAGGGGUAGGGCUGCGCCGAGAGAGAGAGUUCAUGUCUCAAAUCAGCCCCAAUACCUCGGGUAUUUAUAGGAGGGAGGGAGAGAGGGUGUGCACCCCUAGGGUUCCCUCCCUAGGGGUGGCGGCAGCCCUAGAUGGCCAGGAGGGCUGCGGCUAGGGCAGGGAGAGGAGGGUGGCGCCCUAGGUGGGCCUUGGGCCCCUCCCGCGCCUAGGGUUUGCCCCCUUUCCUCCCUUGUUGUGCCUUGGGCCUAGCUGGGAGGCGCACCAGCCCACUCUGGACUGGUUCCCUUCCACCUUUUGGCCCAUGACAGCCUUUGGGGCUGGUGGCCCCUCCCGGUGGACCCUCGUAACCCUUCUGGUGGUCCCGGUACAUUACCGGUGACGCCCGAAACAUUUCCGGUGUCCAAAAUAUCACUUCCUAUAUAUAAAUCUUUACCUCGGACCAUUCCAGAGCUCCUCGUGACAUCCGGGGUCUCAUCCGGGAAUCCGAACAACCUUCGGUAACCACGUACACUAUUUCCCUAUAACCAUGGCAUCAUCGAACCUUAAGUGUGUAGACCCUACGGGUUCGGGACACAUGUAGACAUGACCGAGACAUCUCUCCGGCCAAUAACCAACAGCGGGGUCUGGAUAUCCAUGUUGGUUCCCACAUGUUCCACGAUGACCUCAUCGGAUGAACCAUGAUGUCAAGGAUUCAAUCAAUCCCGUAUGCAAUUCCCUUUGUCUAUCGGUAUGAUAUUUGCCUGAGAUUCGAUCGUCGGUAUGCCUAUACCUUGUUCAAUCUCGUUAGUGGCAAGUAUCCUUACUCGUUACAUAACACAUCAUCCCGUGGCUAAUUCCUUAGUCACACUGAGUUCAAUAUGAUGAUGGAUUACCGAGUGGUCCCAGAGAUACCUCUCCGUCACACGGAGUGACAAAUCCCGAUCUCGAUUCGUACAACUCAACAGACACUUUCAGAGAUACCCGUAGUGCACCUUUAUAAUCAUCCAGUUACGUUGUGACGUUUGGUACACCCAAAGCACCCCUACGAUAUCUGGGAGUUGCACAAUCUCACGGUCCAAGGAAAUGAUACUUGACAUUAGAAAAGCUUUAGCAAACGAACAACACGAUCUAGUGCCAUGCUUAGGAUUGGGUCUUGUCCAUCACAUCAUUCCCCAAUGAUGUGAUCCCGUUAUCAAUGACAUCCAAUGUCCAUGAUCAAGAAACCAUGAUCACCUAUUGAUCAACGAGCUAGCCAACUAGGGGCUCAUUAGGGACACAUUGUGAUCUAUAUAUUCACACAUGUAUUACGGUUUCUGGUUAAUACAAUUAUAGCAUGAAUAAUAAACAAUUAUCAUGAACUCAAAAUAUAAUAAUAACUACUUUAUUAGUGCCUCUAGGGCAUAUUUCCAACAGUCCGACCACUGACUGGGCGCAAAGUUUCAUCCAACAGGACUUGUGAAAUCUGUCUCACACGCACGAAAUGGCCGGCACUCCCCAUAUCAAACUCAUAUUUGGGGCAGAUAUGGGUAUACCCGUAUGCGCUCGGGCACACUCGUCAUGUAGGAUCCGGCCCACUAGGGCCCAUCUGACCCACAUAUAUUGGACCAUGUCCACUGUAGAUGAAACACUAACUGCAUUCACUCCACUCGACUCCACUCCACCCGCAAGUUGGUGUACAUCGAUCUUUGACCUUCCCCGGCAUGGCACGUAAUGGAUCGGACUCGUACACCUUCCAAUAUUUUAUUUGGGAACAUGUCCAACACGACCCUGAGGAGGAGAGGGGUGUUCGCCUGUUGGAAAUAUGACCUAGAGGGAAUAAUAAAUUGGUUAUUAUCAUAUUUCCUUGUUCAUGAUAAACGUUUAUUAUCCAUGCUAGAAUUGUAUUGACCGAAAACUUAGAUACAUGUGUGGAUACAUAAAGAACACCAUGUCCCUAGUGAGCCUCUACUAGACUAGUUCAAUGAUCAAAGAUCGCUAAGGUUUCCUAACCAUAUACAUGAGUUGUCAUUUGAUAACGAGAUCACAUCAUUAGGAGAAUGAUGUGAUGGAUGAGGCCAAACCAUGAGCUUAGCAUAUGAUUAUGUCACCUAAUUUUUGCUACAACUUUCAUUAUGUCAAGUAUCUGUUCUUAAACCAUGAGAUCUUGAACCUCACUGACACAGGAGUAAUACUUAGUUUGUAUCCAAAUGUGACUUCGUAAAUGGUUGAUCAUAAAGGUGCUCUACAAUAUCUCCAAAGGUAUUUGUUGGGUUGGCACGGAUCGAGACUGGAAUUUGUCACUCCGUGUGACAGAUAGAUGUCUUUGGAGCCACUCGGUAAUACAACAUCACAAGAAGCUUGCAAACAAUGUGACUAAUGAUUUAGUCAUGGGAUCUUGUAUUACGAAACGAGUGAAGAGACUUGCCGGUAAUGAUAUUGAACUAGGUAUGGAGAUAUCGACGAUCGAAUCUCAAGCAAGUAACAUAUCGCUGGACAAAGGGAAUUGCAUACGGAAUUAACUGAAUCUUUCACAUCGUGGUUUGACCGAUAAAUAUCUUCAUGGAAUAUGUAGGAACAAAUACGGGCAUCCAGGUCCCGCUAUUGGUUAUUCCCCGGAGAGGUGUACUGGUCAUGCCUACAUGCUUCUCGAACCCAUAGGGCCUGCAAGCUUAUCGUUCGUUGACGCUAUAGUAGUAUUGGGAUAUAUACAUUGGUGAAGGAAUGUUGUUCAGAGUCUCGUAUGAGAUCCCGGAGAACAUGAGGAUCUACGGAAUGGUCCAUAGGUAAUGUUUUAUCUAUGAGAAUUCAUAUUUGGGCCAUGGGAAAACUUCCGGGUUUUACCGGCAAACCAUUGGGAGUGCUAGUAAGGUUCCGAGGGUCGUGUUGGGAAUAUACCCUAGAUGCAAUAAUAAAUUGGUUAUUAUCAUACUUCCUCGUUCAUGAUAAUCAUAUAUUAUCCAUGCUAUCAUUGUAUUGAUUGGAAAAUCAGAUACAUGUGUGGAUACAUAGACAACAUAGUGUCCCUAGUAAGCCUCUACUAGACUAGCUCGUUGAACAAAGAUGGUUAAGGUUUUCCUAACCAUAUACCUGAGUUGUCAUUUGAUAACAGGAUCACAUCACUAGGAGAAUAAUGUGAUGGACAAGCCCCAAUAGUAAGCAUAGCAUUUGAUCGUAUCAUGAAGUUCAUUGCUAUUGCUUUCUACAUGCCAAGUACCUGUUCCUAAGACCAUGAGAUCACGCAACUCCCUGACACCGGAGGAAUGCCUUGUGUGUAUCAAACGUCACAACGUAACUAGGUGAUCAUAAAGAUGCUCUACAGGUAUCUCUAAGGGUGUCUGUUGGGUUGGCAUGGAUCGAGACUGGGAUUUGUCAGUCCGUAUGACGGAGGGGUGAUACGUCUCCAACGUAUCUAUAAUUUUUUGAUGGUUCCAUGCUAUUAUCUUGUCAAACUUUGGAUGUUUUGCAUGCCUUUUAUAUAUUUUUUGGGACUAACUUAUUAACUCAGUGCCAAGUGCCAGUUCCUGUUUUUUUCCAUGUUUUUUACCCCUUUCAGAGGAGGAUUUUGAACGGAGUCCAAACGGAAUGAAACUGCCAAAAAGAUUUUUUCGGAACAUAAAAAGAUCGGGAAGCAAGAGAAUCAGGGCAGGGGGCCACCAGGGACCCCACAAGCCCUCAUGGCACGGCCAGGGGGGCCCGCGCCCUCCUGUCUUGUGGGCUCCCUGAGCCUCCUCUGCCCUAGGUUUUGCGCCUAUAUAUUCCCUAAAAUCCCAUAAAAAAUCAGGAGAUCAUCGAAUGUACUUUUCCUCCGCCGCAAGCUUCUGUCCCUGCAAGAUCCCAUCUGGGGCACGUUUUGGUGCCCUGCCGGAGGGGGGAUUCGGAUACGGAGGGCUUCUUCAUCAACACCAUGACCUCUCCGAUGAUGCGUGAGUAGUUCACCAUAGACCUACGGGUCCAUAGCUAGUAACUAGAUGGAUUCUUCUCUCCCUUGGAUCAUCAAUACUAAGUUCUCCAUGAUCUUCAUGGAGAUCUAUCCGAUGUAAUCUUCUUUUGCGGUGUGUUUGUCGAGAUCCGAUGAAUUUUGGAUUUAUGAUCAGAUUAUCUAUGAAUCUUAUUUGAGUUUCUUCUGAUCUCUCUUAUGCAUGAUUUCAUAUCCUUGUAAUUCUCUUCGAGUUGUGGGUUUUGUUUGGCCAACUAGAUCUAUCAUUCUUGCAAUGGGAUAAGUGCUUGGUUUUGGGUUCAUACCAUGCGGUGACCUCACCGAGUGACAGAAGGGGUAGCGAGGCACGCAUCGUGUUGUUGCCAUCAAGGGUAAAAAGAUGGGGUUUUCAUCAUUGGUUUGNNNNNNNNNNGAUUCUUGCAAUGGGAGAAGUGCUUGGUUUUGGGUUCAUACCGUGCGGUGACCUCACCGAGUGACAGAAGGGGUAGCGAGGCAUGCAUCAUGUUGUUGCCAUCAAGGGUAAAAAGAUGGGGUUUUCAUCAUUGGUUUGAGAUUAUCCCUCUACAUCAUGUCAUCUUGCUUAAGGCGUUACUCUGUUCGUCAUGAACUCAAUCCACUAGAUGCAUGCUGGAUAGCGAUCGAUGUGUGGAGUAAUAGUAGUAGAUGCAGAAAGUAUCGGUCUACUUGUCNNNNNNNNNNUUCUUGCUUAAGGCGUUACUCUGUUUGUCAUGAACUCAAUACAUUAGAUGCAUGCUGGAUAGCGGUCAAUGUGUGGAGUAAUAGUAGUAGAUGCAGAAAGUAUCGGUCUACUUGUCUCGGACGUGAUGCCUAUAUGUAUGAUCAUUGCAUUAGAUAUUGUCAUGACUUUGCUGUUCUAUCAAUUGCUCGACAGUAAUUUGUUCACCCACCGUGAUAUUUGNNNNNNNNNNNNNNNNNNNNNNNNNNNNNNNNNNNNNNNNNNNNNNNNNNNNNNNNNNNNNNNNNNNNNNNNNNNNNNNNNNNNNNNNNNNNNNNNNNNNUCGUCGGCACACCCGUCGCUCCCCUGCUCUCCUUCUCUCCCCCGCUCUUCGUCGUCCCGCCGCAGGUCUUUGUCGUCCCGACAUUCUCUUCCUCCCUCCCCCGUUCUCCGUCGUCCCGGCGAUAGAUCAUGCCGCCGGCGGCGGCGGGCCGGAGAGCAACUGGCCCCAGAGCCUCGACAAGCCUCUGACGCAGGAGCUAUACAACUUCGGCCUCCUCGUCCCGCCGGGGUGCCGCCUUGCAAAACCGUGGAGGAUUUGCAAGGACGGUUAUCCGACGCUGGACAACCCCGCAACGCCGGGUCCACCCCGGCGGCCGCUAGAACACCCGCGGCCGGCACGCCUAUUGGGACGGGAAAAUCUACAACGACGUCAUCAGGCGUUACCGGCAGGCGGCGUCGACGGCAUCCCGCGUCGCCGUCGGGCGGCGAUCCCCCACCCACCUCCGGCGCCCCGGUGGUGGCCCCGGCUGUCCCGGCGGAGUACGAAGUGCCGCCGGAACAGUUCGUCCUCCGCGAGGACGGCGACCCCGACGACUCGCCGGGGCUACUCGUCGCCAUGCGGGCGUCUCAGGCGACGGAAGAGGCGGAGAUCGCGGCGGCGAUCCAGGCGAUGCCGGCAGCGGCGACAAUGGGGCGAACCUGCCACCCGUCGGCGAUGACGACGACUGGGACGCCCUCGCUAACAGCUCCGACGACGACGACGAUGGCGGGGACGGCGACGGCGCGGUGGACGGGCCCGUCGUCGUCUACCUGGACUCCAUUAGAUUAGGAUUUUUAGAAUUUAUUAAUGUUUAAUUAAAUUUCAUUUUUAGUUUUUUUAAUUAUGUUCGAAUGUAAUCGGGAACAAUGAAAUUUUAUCUAAGUUUAUUAUGAAUCUAAAUUCAGUAUUUAUAUUGUUAUUAUUAUUAUUAUUUAUUUGAAAUAUUUAAAUUGUUUACAUUAGUUAACUAAAUAUUUAAAUUUUAUUUAAUAUAUAAAUUUUAAAAAAAUGAAAAAAAAACAAAAAUAAAUAACUUAUAAUAUUUCUUAAACGAUAUAAACAUUCAUGAAAUUAUAUGAAAUAAUUUUUCUUAAAUAAUAUAUAAAUAACUUAUAAUUUUUCUUAAACGAUAUAAAAACGUAAAAUAUUUAUCCAACUUUUGCCCGCACCGGAGAAUUGACAUGCAAUGAUGUCACGCAAAAUUUCGACGAAAUCGGAGACGAAACGCACGUUGCGUCACGUCCGGCAUCUGUUUUUGUCGGUUUUUGAAUGGAAAUUCAUAAAAAAAGCACGAAUUGUCAGAAAAUUCAAAAAUUUGACGUGCCGCCUUGUGAAGUUCAUCGUGAAGCGUGAAAAAANNNNNNNNNNUGGGAGUUGCAAGAUGGCGUUGAAGCACCCCUUCCGUCCAUACCGACACCCACGGGUUGCACAUGAGGUACAUGGAUGCAUUCAUGAAAUUUACCCAACUUUUGCCGGCACCUGAGAAUGCACAUGCAAUGAUGCCACACAAAAUUUCGACGAAAUCGGAGACCAAACGCAUGUUGCGUCACGUCUGGCAUCUGUUUUUGCCGGUUUUCGAAUGGAAAUUCAUAAAAAAAGCACGGAUUGUCAGAAAAUUCUAAAAUUUGACGUGCCGCCUUGUGAAGUUCAUCAUGAAGCGUGGAAAAAAAUGAAAUUUUUUCAUGAAAGGUAGUUGCAAGAUGGCGUUGGAGCACCCCUUCCGUCCAUACCGACACNNNNNNNNNNAAAGUACAUGGAUGCAUUCAUGAAAUUCACCCAACUUUUGCCGGCACGUGAGAAUGCACAUGAAAUGAUGCCACGCAAAAUUUCAACAAAAUCGGAGACCAAACGCACGUUGCGUCACGUCUAGCAUCUGUUUUUGCCGGUUUUUAAUGGAAAUUUAUAAAAAAGCACAGAUUGUGAGAAAAUUCUAAAAUUUGACGUGCCGCCUUGUAAAGUUUAUGGUGAAGCGUGGAAAAAAAUUGAAAUUUUUUCAUUAAGGGGAGUUGCAAGAUGGCGUUGUAGCACCCCUUCCGUCCAUACCGACACCCAUGGGUUGCACAUGAAGUACAUGGAUGCAUUCAUAAAAUUCACUCAACUUUUACCGGCAACUGAGAAUGCACAUGCAAUGAUGCCACGCAAAAUUUCGACGAAAUCAAAAACCAAACGCACGUUGCGUCACGUCCGACAUCUGUUUUUGCCGGUUUUUUUUAUGGAAAUUCAUAAAAAAGCACGGAUUGUCAGAAAAUUCUAAAAUUUGACGUGCCGCCUUGUGAAGUUCAUCGUGAAGGUGGAAAAAUGAAUUUUUUUUAUGAAGGGGAGUUGCAAGAUGGCGUUGUAGCACCCCUUCCGUCCAAACUGACACCCAUGGGUUGCACAUGAAGUACAUGGAUGCAUUCAUGAAAUUCACCCAACUUUUGCCGGCACAUGAGAAGGCACAUGCAAUGAUGCCACACAAAAUUUCGACGAAAUCGGAGACCAAANNNNNNNNNNCGAAGUACAUGGAUGCAUUCAUGAAAUUCAUCCAACUUUUGCUGGCAUCUGAGAAUGCAUGCAAUGAUGCCACGCAAAAUUUCGACGAAAUCGGAGACCAAACACACGUUGCGUCACGUCCGGCAUGUGUUUUUGCCGGUUUUGAAUGGAAAUUUAUAAAAAAAGCACGGAUUGUCAGAAAAUUCUAAAAUUUGACGUGCCGCNNNNNNNNNNCGUUGCGUCACGUCCGACAUUUGUUUUUGCCGGUUUUUGAAUGGAAAUUCAUCAAAAAGCACGGAUUGUGAGAAAAUUCUAAAAUUUGACAUGCCGCCUUGUGAAGUUCAACGUGAAGCGUGGAAAAAAAUGAUUUUUUUUCAUGAAGGGUAGUUGCAAGAUGGCGUUGGAGCACCCCUUCCGUCCAUACCGACACCCAUGGGUUGCACAUGAAGUAUAUGGAUGCAUUCAUGAAAUUCACCCAACUUUUGCCGGCACCUGAGAAUGCACAUGCAAUGAUGCCACGCAAAAUUUCGACAAAAUUGGAGACCAAACGCACGUUGCGUCACGUUCGGCAUCUGUUUUUGCCGGUUUUUAAAUGGAAAUUUAUAAAAAAAAGCAUGGAUUGUCAGAAAAUUCUAAAAUUUGACGUGCUGCCUUGUGAAGUUCAUCGUGAAGCGUGGAAAGAAAAUGAAUUUUUUUCAUGAGGGGGAGUUGCAAGAUGGCGUUGUAGCACCCCUUCCGUCCAUACCGACACCCAUGGGUUGCACAUGAAGCACAUGGGUGCAUUCAUGAAAUUCACCCAACUUUUGCCGACAUAUGAGAAUGCACAUGCAAUGAUGCCACGCAAAAUUUCGACGAAAUCCGAGACAAAACGCACGUUGCGUCACGUCCGACAUCUAUUUUUGUCGAUUUUUGAAUGGAAAUUCAUAAAAAAAGCAUCGAUUGUCAGAAAAUUCUAAAAUUUGAGGUGCCGCCUUGUGAAGUUCAUCGUGAAGCGUGGAAAAAAAUGAAUUUUUUUCAUGAAUGGGAGUUUCAAGAUGGCGUUGUAGCACCCCUUCCGUCCAUACCGACACCCAUGGGUUGCACAUGAAGUACAUGGAUGCAUUCAUGAAAUUCACCCAACUUUUGCUGGCACGUGAGAAUGCACAUGCAAUGAUGCCACACAAAAUUUCGACAAAAUCGGAGACCAAAGGCACGUCGCGUCACGUCCGGCAUCUAUUUUUGCCGGUUUUUGAAUGGAAAUUCAUAAAAAAAGCACGGAUUGUCAGAAAAUUCUAAAAUNNNNNNNNNNUAUCAUGAAGCGUGGAAAAAAUGAAUUUUUUUCAUGAAUGGGAGUUUCAAGAUGGCGUUGGAGCACCCCUUCCGUCCAUACCGACACCCAUGGGUUGCACAUGAAGUAUAUGGAUGCAUUCAUGAAAUUCACCCAACUUUUGCCGGCACCUCAGAAUGCACAUGCAAUGAUGCCACGCAAAAUUUCGACGAAAUCGGAGACCAAACGCACGUUGCGUCACGUCCGGCAUCUGUUUUUGUCGGUUUUUGAAUGGAAAUUCAUAAAAAAAGUACGGAUUGUCAGAAAAUUCUAAAAUUUUACGUGCCACCUUGUCAAGUUCAUCGUGAAGCGUGGAAAAAAAUAAAACAUUUUCAUGAAGGGGAGUUGCACGAUGGCGUUGUAGCACCCCUUCCGUCCAUACCGACACCCAUGUGUUGCACAUGAAGUACAUGGAUGCAUUCAUGAAAUUCACCCAAAUUUUGUCGGCACCUGAGAAUGCACAUGCAAUGAUGCCACGCAAAAUUUCGACGAAGUCGGAGACCAAACGCACGUUGCGUCACGUCCGGCAUCUGUUUUUGCCGGUUUUGAAUGGAAAUUCAUAAAAAAGCACGGAUUGUCAGAAAAUUCUAAAAUUUGACGUGCCGCCUUGUGAAGUUCAUCGUAAAGCGUGGAAAAAAAAUGAAAANNNNNNNNNNNNNNNNNNNNNNNNNNNNNNNNNNNNNNNNNNNNNNNNNNNNNNNNNNNNNNNNNNNNNNNNNNNNNNNNNNNNNNNNNNNNNNNNNNNNUGUGUGUAUCAAACGUCGCAACGUAACUGGGUGACUAUAAAGGUGCUCUACAGGUGUUUUUGAAGGUUUCUGUUGGGUUGACAUGGAUCCAGGUCCCGCUAUUGGAUAUUGACCGAGGAGUCUCUCGGGUCAUGUCUACAUAGUUCUCGAACCCGCAGGGUCUGCACACUUAAGGUUCGACGUUGUUUUAUGCGUAUUUGAGUUAUAUGGUUGGUUACCGAAUGUUGUUCGGAGUCCCGGAUGAGAUCACGGACGUCACGAGGGUUUCCGGAAUAGUCCGGAAACGAAGAUUGAUGUAUAGGAUGACCUCAUUUGAUUACCGGAAGGUUUUCGGAGUUACCGGGAAUGUACCGGGAAUGACGAAUGGGUUCCGGGAGUUUACCNNNNNNNNNNNNNAAAGAUUGAUAUAUAGGAUGACCUCAUUUGAUUACCGGAAGGUUUUCGGAGUUACCAGGAAUGUACCGGGAAUGACGAAUGGGUUCCGGGAGUUCACCGGGGGGGCAACCCACCCCGGGGAAGCCCAUAGGCCUUGGGGGAGACAUACCAGCCCUUAGUGGUCUGGUGGGACAGCCCACAAGUGGUCUAUGCGCCAAGAGAAGAAAAAUCAAGAGGAAAAGAAAAAAAAGGGAGGAGGUGGGAAGGGAGGAGGACUCCCUCCCACCAAACCUAGUCCAACUCGGUUUGGGGGGGGGNNNNNNNNNNNNNNNNNNNNNNNNNNNNNNNNNNNNNNNNNNNNNNNNNNNNNNNNNNNNNNNNNNNNNNNNNNNNNNNNNNNNNNNNNNNNNNNNNNNNACCGCCACCACCAUCACGCCGCCGCCCCGGUGCCCCACAACCCGGCCGCCGCCGCCGCACCGCCCCCGGCGCCGCCCCGGUGCCCCACAGCCCCCCAGCGCCGCCGACCCAUCGACCCCGGNGACCCAUCGCCCCCGGUGCCGCCCCACAGCCCCAACAACCCCGGCGCCGCCCCGCCGCCCGUGAUGGCACAGCCUCCUCUGCCGGUGAGUCCCCACACCCCCAACCCUAUAUAUGAAUCUAUAAAGAAAUUUUAAUUCCAACAUUUUGUUGAGAUUUUCUUUCAAUGAAUGUAGUAUAUAUAUUUUGGAAUUGCUUGCAGUAUAUAUAUUUUGUUGAGAUUUGGUUAUCCGAAAUAUGUUGUGAUUUAUUGAUAUUAUUAGUACAUAUUUUAACCAUGUAUAGUUUAAUUAUAACAAAAAAAUCGUUUCUUGUAAGGAACAUUUUUUAGGAAUAGCAUGAACAUUCAUUCUAGCCAAUGAAUUAAUUUUGGAGGACUCUCUUCUAUUCAAGGUAGCUAAAAAUCCAUAAAGUAAAUUCAGUGUGCUCCCUUUUAGUCAAUGGAGCACGUCCACCAUAUCGUCAUCAUUGUACUAAACAUCUUUAGACCACCGGUACCAUGGGCUCUAAUUAUAAAAGAUGAUACUCUUUACAUGUUCAUUUUGUAUCACAACAUCACUCAUCUAUUGAUUUUCUCGAUUAUAUGUAUCCAAUACAUAACAAGAUGUGGUAUAUUGGCUUCAAAAAGAUUUUGACACAAACAAUAGUAGCUAAAUGAAAUCACUUCCUUGUAUAUUUUAUAUUUGAUCUUAAUAUCUAGUCGAGUACAACAACCUCACUUUGUAAGAGGAGUGGAUGUGCAAUUUGUCCAACGCUACUAUGGUUCAUUUAACAGAACAUAUAGCAAGUUAAAUAAAUAAUUCAUCUUAUUGCUAUGCCUACACACCAUCCACCUUGUCGCUGUGUUUUUAUCACAUUUACUUGUACCUACCUAUAAUCUAGUGUGUGUGCAUAUAUAUUGCUCCCAUCCAACUUGGUUUACACAACCAGGCUAAAGAAGCUAACCGACAUGGGCAGUGCUAGGGAUUGUUGUAGUAGUUGUUGUAGAUGUUAUUGUAGUUGNNNNNNNNNNNNNNNNNNNNNNNNNNNNNNNNNNNNNNNNNNNNNNNNNNNNNNNNNNNNNNNNNNNNNNNNNNNNNNNNNNNNNNNNNNNNNNNNNNNNNNNNNNNNNNNNNNNNNNNNNNNNNNNNNGAUGUUAUUGUAGUUGUUGUAGUAGUGGUUGAUGUUAUUGUAGUUGUUAUUUAGUUCUUAGAUUUUCAAUUUUUUUAUGUUGUACUAAUUUCUCUUAAUCUUUAUCAUGGCAGGUCAGCAGGUGUUGAAAGAUGGUGGGCGCAGGACUACUAUGGUGGACCCGUUUGAGGAGGAGGCUACGGGGACUCCGGUCCAGGAGCCUCGGGUGGACGGGCAUUCGGCCCAUGAGACUCCGGUCCAGGAUCAGCCUCGGGUCUAGGUGCUUUCGGCCCACGAGACUCCGGUUCCUGAGGCUACGUCCCAGGAGACUCCUGCCACACAUGCUUCGGCCAACGUGGAGAGGUCCGGAUGGGGUGCCUGGCCGGAUCGGUCUGAGGUGCUGGAUUGGACCAAGGUGCUGGAUUCGACCGAGGGUCCGGGUGGCUGUUCUCUUGAUGGCGGGGAUGAGUUUACGGAUAGUGAGGGUGAUGUGCAGGUGGACGGGGCCACCGUGUACAAGCGUGGUAGUACACGUCUCCCGGUCGUGCCGGCUACCCGCGAGCAGAGGCCGGUGAUUAAGCCUGAAGGGGAUAUGUAAGUACAUUUACUCUUUUUUAGCUUUUGCCUUCAAGUUUCUUCAAAUAUAUAAUGCAUUUACCUUAUCAUACUGCAGGGGAUGGGCUCACCCUUGUGGAGUCCGCAAGCCGAACAGCGUCCUUGGUGUGCUUUGUCGGACUUAAUUUUCCGGGGUCUGUCACGUUGCCUGGUGAGGUUCAGGUUCCUACACUAGGAUUUUCCUAGGAGCACUACCAGGUUGCGGAGGCCCCGCCGGAGGAAAUUAUAGAUGGUGUCUUGUGCCACACGAGGGCCGAGAUGGUGAUCAAGAGCUUUUGAGUAAAUUAUCCUUUUACAGAAUUUCAAAUUAACAAUAUAGCUAACUAUUGUACUAAUCGGUGUUGUCUCGUUUAAUUGCAGACCCUCUAUAGGUGUGAGGAGGGAUAUGAGGAGGAGGCGGCCAAGGUUCUCAAGGCCGAGUGCAGGCGGUUAUUACAGAACUUACGCCACGAGGCUUGGCUGCAGGCUAUUCGAGACUACUACGCCACACGUGGUAUUAAGAAGCAUAAGAAGGAGUGCCGCGGAAAGUAUCUAAAGAAGGAGCGGUACAUGAAGGUAAUUACCUAUACUUAAGGCCUUCUACAUAGUUCUGUUGAUUUGAUGUGCCCCCGAGAUGAGGAGGAGAAGUAUCAAAAUUCUUUCUAAUAACUUAUAGGUGCCCCCGAGAUGGUGUGCGGAUAAGAUGGAUUGUUGGGAUGCGUUGGUGGAUGAGUGGUGCACACGGAACUGGCAAGCCGUCCACGACAAUGCUAAGGAUCGGCGGAGCCAAAUGGUUGGUGUGCCACACCAUCAAAGCAGCGCCAACUUACUUCAGUUCGGACGAAACUGGGUAUGUGGUUUGCUUCAUGAUUCAUGCAAUUCAUUCUUCAUGCUAGCUUGAGCGCCUUACUAAUACUUUGUUCCUCUCUUUUAGGCGCAUCACAAUAAGAUGGAGAUGCCACACUUGUACGACCUUUAUGGCAAGGCCCAUAGUGCCUCCUACAAGAAGGCGAAGGCAUUCUAUGAGUCUGACCUGGAUGAUCCAAAUAACUUCACCAACAUAUCAUCCCACCACAAGCUUGUGACAUACAGGGACACGGGGAAGGCUAGGAAAGGGGAGGACUUUAACCCGAGGCAGGAACCUUUGGAUCCAUAGCUGGUGAUGAUAUAUGGUGGCGGGAGGCCCCAUGGCUCGAUAGCCAUUGGAGAUGGGAUAAUACGUUGUCCACUCACUCUCCCGGAGAUCAAGGCGCGCCAGUCAAGCUCCUGUCCUGAGAUAACGCCUCGUUCACGGCCAGUCGAUCUUUGUAUCGAGGUUAGUUGUACGGACUCAGAAAACUUUCAUCCGUUUCAUUAUGUGUGUGACCGUCGAUCAUUACUGUGGUAACGAGGAAUGGUGCUGCAUGCUGCUCUUCAGAAAAAGAGAGCAGCAAACCAGGCUGCUCUUGAGAAAGAGAGAUUGACAAGCCACGCUGCUCUUGAGGAGAGGGACCGGACCACGGCACGACUGAUUGAGGAGGAGAGGGCCCGGAAUGACGCGGGUCAACGGACCCUGUAUGAUCUUUUUGUGGUAAGUUUUUUUCCACAUUAGCCAAAUCAUGUCUGUAAUGUCUGUUUCAUUACUAACUAAUACGACCGACUCUUCAGAGCCUGUGCGAGAAGAGCGNNNNNNNNNNNNNNNNNNNNNNNNNNNNNNNNNNNNNNNNNNNNNNNNNNNNNNNNNNNNNNNNNNNNNNNNNNNNNNNNNNNNNNNNNNNNNNNNNNNNNNNNNNNNNNNNNNNNNNNNNNNNNNNNNNNNGGUGCGAGAAGAGCGGGCAAGUCCCUCCGCCGAUGCCCGUCUUCUCUGCGAUUGGCACGGUGAGUUUCAUUUGAAUGGUCAUUAUAAACUAGUAUUAACAAUUGAGUGUCAUCAUGCUAACUGAGACAUUGCAAAAUAUCUUUUCUGCAUAAUAACUCCCGAGUGGCAUCACACGACACUUAUCCAGGGCAACCGUCUCCAAACGAAACCGCCGCGAGCAACCCUGGUGUUUCUCCUCCUUGAUGACCACGACGGUAAGUUUUGUCAAUUUCAUUUUGAAAUAACUAGAUAAUUUAGCUCCUCCUCCUCUAAAAUGACAUAUUUAACCAAGUUAGCUCCAAAACGACAUAUAGUUAGCUUGGCUUCCACCUAAAUGACAUAAUNCCUCCUUCUUCUCCUUCUUCUUCUCCUUCUUCUCUCCUUGUUCUUCUCCUUCUUCUUCUCCUCCUCCUUCUCCUUCUUCUUUUUCUUCUCCUUCUUCUCUUCUUGCUUCUUCUCUUUCUUCUUUAAUUUAGCUUAUUUUCCCCAACAAAGACAUACUUAGCUAAUUAUCCUCCAAAAUGACAUAAUUAGCUUAGUUAGCGUAAAAACAUCAUAAGAACCUUGGUUAGCUCACAACUUAGCUAAUUAUCCUCCAAAAUGACAUAAUUAGCUUAGUUAGCUCCAAAAUGGCCUAUUUAAUAAAAAAUGACCUAUACAUAGCUAAGUUCUUUCCUAAAUGACAUAAUAAGACCUAAGAGAAGAAGAGAAGAAGAAAAAGAUAAGAAGGAGAAGAAGAGAAAAAAGAAGAAAAUAAGAAUAAGUAGAAGAAGAGGAUAAAGAAAAAUAGAAAUAGAAAUAAGAGGAAGAAGAAGAAGAGGAGGAGGAAGAAGAGGAGAAGAGGAGGAGGAGAAGAAGAAUAAGAAGAAGAGGAGAAGAGGAGAAUAAAGAGGCAAAAUGAAAAGAAGGAAGAAGAAGAAUAAGAAGAGAAUAAGAAUAGAAGAAGAAGAGAAGAAGAAGGAGAAGGAGCCCUCCUUCUUCUCCUUCUUCUCUCCUCCUUCUUCUUCUCCCUCCUUCUUCUCCUUCUUCUUCUCCUUCUUCUCUCCUUGUUCUUCUCCUUCUUCUUCUCCUCCUCCUUCUCCUUCUUCUUUUUCUUCUCCUUCUUCUCUUCUUGCUUCUUCUCUUUCUUCUUUAAUUUAGCUUAUUUUCCCCAACAAAGACAUACUUAGCUAAUUAUCCUCCAAAAUGACAUAAUUAGCUUAGUUAGCGUAAAAACAUCAUAAGAACCUUGGUUAGCUCACAACUUAGCUAAUUAUCCUCCAAAAUGACAUAAUUAGCUUAGUUAGCUCCAAAAUGGCCUAUUUAAUAAAAAAAUGACCUAUACUUAGCUAAGUUCCCUCCUAAAUGACAUAAUAAGGACUAAGAGAAUAAGAGAAGAUGAAAAAAAAGGAGAAGAAGAGAAAAAAGAAGAAGAAUAAGUAGAAGAAGAGGAUAAAGAAAAAUAGCAAUAGAAAUAAGAGGAAGAAGAAUAAUAAGAAGAAGAGGAGGAAGAAGAGGAGAAGAGGAGGAGGAGGAGGAGGAGGAGAAUAAGAAGAAGAAGAAGAGGAGAAGAGGAGAAGAAAUAGGAAAAAUGAAAAGAAGGAAGAAGAAGAAGAGAAGAAGAAGAGACGAAGAAGGAGAAGAAGGAGGAGGAGAAGGAGCCCUCCUUCUUCUCCUUCUUCUCUCCUCCUUCUCCCUCCUUCUUAUCCUUCUUCUUCUCCUUCUUCUCUCCUCCUUCUUAUCCUUCUUCUUCUCCUCCUCCUUCUCCUUCUUCUUUUUCUUCUCCUUCUUCUCUUCUUGCNNNNNNNNNNNNNNNNNNNNNNNNNNNNNNNNNNNNNNNNNNNNNNNNNNNNNNNNNNNNNNNNNNNNNNNNNNNNNNNNNNNNNNNNNNNNNNNNNNNNUUCACCUACUUUCACUUAUAAAUUCCAAUAGGUAUCACGGUAAAUUAUAUAGUUAUUAAAAAGAUCAAAUGGGUAACUUGUAUGAUGUACCUAUUUUGUGUUUUUGAUUCCUAUUUACUGGAAAUUCAAAUCACUAUACCAUAUUUACGUGCAGGAAUAUACCAUAUUUAUGUAUCCUCUUUCUCACAUUUCUGUUUUUAAUAGGCACUUCGCUACCUAUGGUUGACCCGGAAAGUGAGGGUGAAAUAUUUCCUGAUAUUCAAUUUUGGAAGCAGUGUGCUGAUCCUGUCCUCGCUCAAGAUCCAUUUUCUUCAUUGAUGUCAGCACUUUUCUGCCUGCCCAUUGAAGUUUUGACCUCCACAAAAGUCUUCAUCCCUAUUGUUCAUCUAUUAUACAUUGUUUGUGUCAUUCAGGUAUGCUGUUCUGCAAUCUCCCACCACCUAUAUAGUUCUGUUAUGGUGUAUUUCUUUGUAACAUAUGUAUUGCGCUGUAGGCACUAAUAACAUGCUAUGGACAAGAAGCUUUUGACAGAUCAAUCUUCCGUGGCUGCCUUCUUAACGAUGUUUGCGAGGUGAUGUCAGGAUAUGAUAUUGCUAGAGAAUAUUUUGUAUCUAAGCACAUCGAUCCCUCUUGUGAAAAAUGCCCAAUCUCAAUCUAUAUAAGAGAGGUGAUUACUUAAUCUCAAUGGCUAGAAAAGUACUCACGAUUUUUGUUCUUUGCAUAUAAAUUUGACAUAGAAAUCAUAAAAAUUCUAUGAACAAAAAAAAUCAUAAUUUUUUUACAUAUUCGAUCUUUGCAUAUAUAUAUGAACAUACAAACAUGCAUACAUAAAUCUCCUCCAAAACGUCUAAUUCAGCACACAGUGAUGAUUAUAUUGUUGUAGUGUCAAAGCUACCAAUAAAUGCAUAGCAUGGAGAGGUGCAGUGGACAUUCUUUGUCGAAAUGUCGAAAAAGUUUGCACUGAAUCUCUUUGUUGGAUGUAAACAUGAAUAACGUUUCAAUUAGAAAUAAAAUUUGGAAACACAAAUAUUAUUUGAAAAAACCCUGAUUUGUUUCUGAAUGUGUGAAUUAUAUUUGUAAAACAGGAGUGUUUUUGAAUUAGUGGAUAUUAUUUUGAAAACAGGUCCAUUUUCUAAAUUUUUUAACAAAAUUUGUAAAAGCGAGACUUUUUGGAUCUCUUAGCAAUAUGUUUUUUGCGGAUACAACCUGGAGCUCGGGGCAGGGCCUUGUCGCCAGCGACGCGAGGCCGAGGGGUGGUGUGCGGGCACGAGGAGGCAAGGUCGAGGAGGGAUGGCGCAUGGGCACAUGAGGAGAAGGAGGCGGGGUCGACGAGCGCUGCGCGCGGGUGCAAGAGGAUGCUGGCCGCCGGCUUCCAGCAGGGGCGAGGAGGCGGCGCACGUAUGCGAGGAGGCAGGGUCGAGGAGGCGCAGGAUGACGUCGGGAGGCGGGGUCGAGGAGGUGCAGUAGGAUGCCGGCAUCUGGCGCUCCAGCGAGGACUUGGCGAGGGCGGCGCCGGUCGCGAGGGCUUGGCGGCGGCCGACGUACUACUUGGUCCCCUCGAUACUCCCUAAGACAGAGGACACGACUGUGGCAGAGCAGGCCGAGGCGAGGCGACUUGUGGGAUGCGCCUUGACGAGGCCGAGGUGGCCUCCUCGCGGUCAACGCGAGCAGAUGAAGAAACCAACAUGAAGCGACGGUCCGAAUCGGGGUCGGACGCGUGAGAGUGCUGGACGGAUUGGUAGCGUAGGACGACGACUUGGCGGGCCAGAUCGGACGACGGCAGAGGAGGAGCUCGAGGAUGAGGCGGGCAUGUGACACAUGCUUCUGGGCGGUCUGAAUCCGGCGACUUGACGAGGGCGUGCCGACGACAGUUUUGAAUUCCAUGGUGGCAGCGUCAUUUUUGUUCGUCUGAGUCCCCUUGUUCGACAGAGAAGAAAGAUGAUGAGAAUAGAGAUGAGAUUUAUGGUUGGAUUGGGAGGGAGAAGCGCAGGGAAGAGCCGACUCAUCGGCGUGGUCCUGUUGUUGUUGCUCGCUUCGUAAUGGACGAGGACAUGAGGAGGUGCGCGUGCGCGGUGAGAUCUGGGAAAAAAGAAAGACUGCAGUAUGCCGCUGUUUGCAAGUCCCUCGAUGGGGAGUUAAUCUAAUCCGCCUGUAGCCUGCUAGCCGGCUUGUGCGAGAUACACACGGCGUUAUGAGGGACCCACGCAUCGGUAAAUUAUCUCGCGAGGUCCAUUCCUUUUUUUCCCAACGAUUCCCAUUCACAUGUGACAUCUCUCCUUCAUAACACCCGUACAAACUCCAAGUGCAUACAAGUUAUUUUAACAAUAGAUAAGAAAGCUACAGCCGGACCCCUAUUUCAUCUCUAAACGCCCGAACGUUUGUCCGGUGCAUAAGCUAAUCACACACUUUAUUUAUUGCUCAAUAAUAUAUUUUUAUACAUGAAAUAAGUUGUGUCUUUUUUAUACAUAAAACAAGUUGUGUCUUUUUAUACAUGAAACAAGUUGUAUCUUUUUUUACCCGGUGCAACGUACGGGCAUUUGUACUAGUUCCUAAUAAAAAAAGUCAAAAAAGUGAGCUAACAACUCAAACACGUUGGCACCAUUGUUGUCCACCUCUCAAUAAAUGAAAAAAGAAUGAUGCAUACCCUUUUUUAGCCUACCCAUCCCAACGAGGGUAUGCUGGAUUCGACAUAGACAUUUAUUCCAAUAAACGCACACACAUUUUAUUUUAUGAGUAUCUCUGAAAGACCAAGUUAUUUUGAUUUUUUUUUUUGAAAAAGUCAUUUUGAGCUUGAUGAAAUCGUUAUAGACACCUUUGUAAUCAAGUGAAACAUCUUCUAACAUUGAAAAAAAUCGUCGAAGGUCUGAAUUAAAUUCAGUAAAAUGCGAGCAUCAAUAUUAAAUCUGAGACUUGAGCUAUGAUGGACAAAAGAUACCAUUGUUCUAUUAAUUGUGCAACAACAUUUGUUUCACAAAAAAGUUGCAUACUUUACACCAUUGUUGUAGGCGAGUAUAACUGUAUUUUCAAACACUCCCAACCUCUCAGUAUAAAAUAGAGUGACUAUUUUCAUAAGAAAUCUAACAACAUCAGCGACGCAACAAAGUGCGCUCAACCCUUCUAGUCCUCCAUAACACUAAGCUCCCUAGUUUCAAAGACCCCACAUUCAUUUGAGGUCUCCAAUUGGAAUUGAGUCAUCCAAUUUUGAUCGGUCGACAAUUUCUUAAAGCUCUCUAAUUAAAUUCUUUUAUACUAUACACUAUGCUUCCGAAUUUUUAAGACUACCCAAUUAUUUGAGUUAUUCAAUUUACGUUUAGAUCACUCGAUUUCGACCGGACAAACAAUUUCUCAAGCUCUUCCGUUCAUUUUUUUAAUUCACUAUGUUCCUUAAUUUUGAAUCUCUUUCAUUCAUUUGAGUUAUUCAAUUUGACCGGGCCAAUGAUUUUUCAAAUCAACCAGCAGCAAUUGGCCUAUAGAAACAUAGCAAUCCCGCACACCCUCUCACCAUCUCAAAAAGGAAGCGUUGUCAUGUGAUAUUGUAGUACCAAUAAAGUACAUGCAGUCACCGAUGCAGAAAUUUACCCACACAAAUAUAGGUUUGGUUAGCCGAUAUCGCGGAAUCACAGUACAAAACGCACAAAAAACACCACGUUAUAAAUAAAAAUAAAAUACGUUCCAUCAUCUCCCCCACCUAUUCCAGAAUAUAACCCGUAUUAGUUUUUUGGAAAGUUAAACUUCUUUAACUUUGCUCAAGAUUAGAGCAACAAUAUCGACAUCCAUAAUAUUAAAUAAAAAGUAAGGAACUUCAUUUCAUGAUGAAUCUAAUCAUGCCAAUUUGAUAUUAUGGAUUUCAUUAUGUUUCUCUAUGAAUUUGAUCAAACUUUAAAAAAUCAUCAUUUCAAAAUACCAAUACAUCUUAUUUUAAAACCGGGUGUUUCUUUAAAAGCCAAACAAUAUCAACAACCCAACAAAGCGCAUCCAACCCUCAACCCUUCUGGUAAUGAUGAUGUACAAGUAGUUUGCUUGUUCUCAAAAAUUAAAUGGCCGCACACCACUACAAGUUCUACCAGCACAAGAAAUCCAGAUACAAAACAACAUAUGACAUCAUCAUAUUUGUUUAUUCGCAUCUCACAAUAUGAGCAUGUCACAUUUAUCUGAGAGAUAUUUGAAAUGUCCUUGAGAACACGAGUAAGUAUGCACAUGCAACUCACGUCUCAAAUAAAGUGAGUUCACGUGGUAUUAUAGUACAAAUUUUUUGAUUUUUUGGAUGGGUACAAAAUGUUAUGAUGUCACUCAAAUUGUAUCGAAAUUAUGACAUAUUUGUGAUCCAACACGCGUAUUAUAAUCUAUAGUACAAACAUAUAUUCCGAAUCUAAUUUUAUUUUAGUGAGUUUUUUACCAAGCUAUUUAAAUGUGUCUUAUGCCCAACGAUAUGAGAACGCGUGUGACACACGAUCCAGAAACAUGUCUCCGCAUAAAAUUCAUGUUCACAUAAUACUUGUAUUAUAAUGGUUACAGAAAUAUAUUUUAAAAACCAUAACUAAGCAUGUCUUGAAGGUCCAUCUUUUGAAGUAAUGAAGGUCCAUCUAUAGUUGCGAUCUAUGAUUCUUCCUUUAAUGGAUGGAUAUUGUUUUGAGCUUUAUUCUCUUCAUACUUUAAAAUAUGCACCAAAAGUUGCUUCCUCUGUUCAAAACCAUCCUACAUAUGCAUUAUACAACAUUGGUUUAACAAGGUUGUAUGUGCAAUGUGUAUACAAAUAAACAUGGUGUAAAUACUCACCUGGGGUAUAGGGAAAUAUAGCUUUCCAUCCCACACUGGGUGCAUGUAAUUAAAUACCAAAUAACCCAACAAGGCACCACAUGUAUGAAAUAAACACAUAAUGUGCAUUGAAUGAAUUAAUUAAUACUAUAAUGCAUUAAAAAGACUCAUACCAAUGUGAGUUUGUUGAAACAACAGGAAUUAUGCAUUACCAUUUUGAGAUAUCGUCCUUGAAUGCAGGGUUUGCAACUUGGAACGCGAGGUUUAUGUUAUCGACCAUGGUUUUAAGUAUAUUCUUCACCAAAUUAGGUAUUGGUAUCAAAUCAAAAAUUGAGACAACUUUUUUUAUCCUGAUCCAAGAUAAACAAUAGAAAUAUCCCAAAAAUAUCCCAAGGCAAUAAAAUCUGCAAUGAUGCAUACGUUUAGAAACACAUGAAAUAUUAAUUAAGACCAAAUAAAUCACUAUUAUAAAUGAAAAAUCAAAAUCUUACCAUAUCACAUUGUGAGAUAUGAUACUCAUUGUUGCGAGUCCAGCUAUGAACAACAGUUUGAACGAAGCCAUGCCCAUAUUUUCAUGAUGAUGAUGACUUGGGUCUCAUGCAUAGUGGAACAUGAACUAAAAUAAAAAUAAGAAAACAUUAGUGCUAUGAGAAAAAGGUAAUACGUGAUUAUAGUAACUUACACAAAAGUUUAGAUCCAUGUAGUGAGAUCGAAUGUGUGUGUGAAGCUGGACUUCGUGUCACGCUCAUAUCCGCAUAGCCAUAUUAAAGCAAUCAAUAUUCAUAUAUUCAUCUUUUUUAAUAUGUUUUUUGUUUGUCUCAAAUUUAAGCUAAUAGGGUAAGGAUCAGAGCUUUUCACCCAUUCGCUCGUGUAAAAUCGGAAUUCUGUCAAUUAUAAUGACAACAUAGUAUUUAUUAGAAUACAAAAUGAACUAAAGAAAUAUGGUUUACUCUAGUAGAGCAUCAUCAUCAAACAUACUGAUGAACAAGCAAAUUUCAUCUAUUAAGUCAUUGUUUGUUGGGUUGGCAUACGGUGAAAGGAUAUAUGACUACAAGAUGAUCGCCACAUCUGAUGAUGUAUUUGAUGUUUUAAGAUUCUGAGGGAGUCCAUCCAAAAUCACACAAUCCAUGGGAUCUAAGUUGUCUUCAUCAUCUUCCAUGUCUUGAUUUAUUAUAUUAUCAUCAUUCAAUUCCGAGUCCAGUAAAAUGAUAGCUAGUUUUGUUCUACAAUCUGUCAUAUGAUCCUAUUAAAGUAGUAAUAAGAGUUAAAUAGUGAUACAACAUAAAAUAAGUAUAAUGAUACAUAGCGAAUAAUACAUGUGUAGGAGUCUCGAACAAAAUAUCUCCUGUGAAGUACUCCAUAAAAUUUACCAUCCACAAGCCAAAAGAUGACAUGCAUGAUUACAAAACUUAAAUGUAGACAAUAUUUUUUUAUCAAUUGUAUAGAUGUUUUAUAUAUUUUUUAAAUGAAUCGUAAAAAUGAUUUUAUAGAUAUUUGAUAGCUACGAUGAUAACAAAAACCUCACCCACUCAAGUGAAUAGGACAUGCCCUACAAAAAAUAAUGGAGUUGCUAAAAAAUAUUUUUUUAUAGAAGAUAAAUGCUUUUGGUUUGCACUGAGCCACACUCACUCACAAUCUCACCCACUCCCCCUGCCCCACUCGUCCCUCAUCUACGAGAUCCCCACCACCCAACGUCGGCUCUCUCUGGUGGCCGCCCUUCCCCUUCGUCUCCAUCGCCAGCAGACACCCCUCCCCUUCGUCUUCAUCGCGAGCGGACACUGAUACUUCUCCGUCGUAUCUACUUUUCCGAACUCUUUUGCCCUUGUUUUGGACUCUAACUUGCAUGAUUUGAAUGGAACUAACCCGGACUAACGCUGUUUUCAGCAGAAUUGCCAUGGUGUUGUUUUUGUGCAGAAAUAAAAGUUCUCGGAAUGACCUGAAAAUUUACGGAGAAUUUUUCUGGAAUUAAUGAAAAAUACCUGCGCAAAGAUCCACCGGAGGAGGUGUGCCAGUGGGCCACAAGCCCCUGGGCCGCGGCCACCCCCCUGGCCGCGCUAUGAGGGCUUGUGGGGCCCACGUGGCUCCACCGCCCCCAAACUCAGCUCUAUAUAUUCCGUCUCGCCCGGAAAAAAAAUCAGGGAGAAGGAUUCAUCGCGUUUUACGAUACGGAGACGCCGCCACCUCCUGUUCUUCCUCUGGAGGGCAGAUCUGGAGUCCGUUCUGGGCUCUGGAGAGGGGAAAUCGUCGCCAUCAUCAUCAUCAACCUUCCUCCAUCGCCAAUUCCAUGAUGUUCUUCACCAUUCGUGAGUAAUCUCAUCAUAGGCUUGCUGGACGGUGAUGAGUUAGAUGAGAUCUAUCAUGUAAACGAGUUAGUUUUGACGGGUAUUGAUCCCUAGUAUCCACUAUGUUCUAGAUUGAUGUUGCUACUACUUGGCUAUGCUUAAUGCUUGUCACUAGGGCCCGAGUGCCAUGAUUUCAGAUCUGAACCUAUUAUGUUGUCGCCAAUAUAUGUGUGUUUUAGAUCUUAUCUUGCAAGUUGUAGUCACCUACUAUGUGUUAUGACCCGGUAACCCCAGAGUGACAAUAGCCGGAACCACUCCCGGAGAUGACCAUAGUAUGAGGAGUUCAUGUAUUCACCACGUGUUAAUACAUUGGUCCGGUUCUUUAUUAAAAGGAGAACCUUAAUAUCCUGUAGUUUCCAUUAGGACCCCGCUGCCACGGGAGGGAUGGACAGUAGAUGUCAUGCAAGUUCUUUUCCCUAAGCACGCAUGACUACAUACGGAAUACAUGCCUACAUUAGAUUGACGAACGGGAGCUAGUUAGUUAUGUCUCUGUGUUAUAGCUGUUACAUGAUGAAUCACAUCCGGCAUACUCAUCCAUCACCGAUCCACUGCCUACGAGUCUUUUACUACUCGUCCUUGCUACGUCACUUUACUGUUGUUACUCUGCUGCUACUGCUGUUACUUGCUACUGCUGUCACUACUGCUGUUACUUGCUACUGCUGUCACUACUACUGUUACUUGCUACUUGGAUGUUACUUGCUGCAACACUUUACUGGCGCCAUUGAUACAAUAAGUUAGGAAUAGUCUGCCAUCAACAUAUCUGUUUCUGGCACCAUUCCUAUCAUACUACUUUGCUACUGAUACUUUGCUUGCAGACACUAAUCUUUCAGGUGUGGUUGAAUUGAUAACUCAGCUGCUAAUACUUGAGAAUAUUCUUUCGCUUCCCCUGAUUCGAACCAAUAAAUUUGGGUUGAAUACUCUACCCUCGAAAACUGUUGCGAUCCCCUACAGUUGUGGGUUAUCAAGAGACACCCCUCCCCUUCUUCAUCACCGCCGGCGGACGCCCUGCCCCUUCUCUACCUCGCCCGCCCCUUUUUCGUAUCCGCGGACAUCGGGGUACUGCCUGCUCCU